CGAGCCCUCUGGGCUCAACCUCCCACCCGUGCCGUUAUAAUACCUGUUGCUUUGGCGGGCCCACUGGGGUCACCUGGUCGCUGGGGGACGCCUGUCCCCGGGCCCGCGCCCGCCGAAGCACCCCCUGAACUCUGAAGAAGAUAGGGCUGUCUGAGUACCUAGAAAAUUGUCAAAACUUUCAACAAUGGAUCUCUUGGUUCCGGCAUCGAUGAAGAACGCAGCGAAAUGCGAUAAGUAAUGUGAAUUGCAGAAUUCCGUGAAUCAUCGAAUCUUUGAACGCACAUUGCGCCCCCUGGCAUUCCGGGGGGCAUGCCUGUCCGAGCGUCAUUUCUGCCCUCAAGCACGGCUUGUGUGUUGGGUGUGGUCCCCCCGGGGACCUGCCCCAAAGGCAGCGGCGACGCCCGUCGGGUCCUCGAGCGCAUGGGGCUUUGUCACUCGCUCGGGAGGGACCUGCGGGGGUUGGUCACCACUAAAUUUUUUACGGUUGACCUC
rnacentral:misc_RNA from 1 species